rnacentral:rRNA from 1 species
CCUGGCGGAGGUUACUGCUAUCGAGGUCCGACUAAGCCAUGCGAGUCGAAUGUAGCAAUACAUGGCGAACUGCUCAGUAACACGUGGACAACCUACCCUCAGAUCUGGGAUAAACCUGGGAAACUGGGUAUAAUACCGGAUAGGUCUUGGAUGCUGGAAUGCACCGAGGCCCAAAGCUCCGGCGUCUGAGGAUGGGUCUGCGGCCUAUCAGGGUAGUAGUGGGUGUAAAGUACCUACUAGCCUACGACGGGUACGGGUCGUGAGAGCGAGAGCCCGGAGAUGGAUUCUGAGACACGAAUCCAGGCCCUACGGGGUGCAGCAGGCGCGAAAACUUUACAAUGCCGGCAACGGCGAUAAGGGGACCUCGAGUGCCAGGAUACAAUCCUGGCUGUCGUAAUGCCUAAAAAGCAUUAUAUAGCAAGGGCCGGGCAAGACCGGUGCCAGCCGCCGCGGUAACACCGGCGGCUCGAGUGGUAACCGCUAUUAUUGGGUCUAAAGGGUCUGUAGCCGGCCUGGUAAGUCUUUUGGGAAAUCCGGCAGCUCAACUGUCGGGCUAUCAGAGGAUACUGCUAGGCUCGAGACCGGGAGAGGUGAGAGGUACUUCAUGGGUAGGGGUGAAAUCUUGUAAUCCUUGAAGGACCACCAGUGGCGAAGGCGUCUCACCAGAACGGAUCUGACGGCAAGGGACGAAAGCUAGGGGCACGAACCGGAUUAGAUACCCGGGUAGUCCUAGCCGUAAACGAUACUCGCUAGGUGUCGGCCACGGUGCGACCGUGGUCGGUGCCGUAGGGAAGCCGUGAAGCGAGCCACCUGGGAAGUACGGCUGCAAGGCUGAAACUUAAAGGACUUGGCGGGGGAGCACCACAACGGGUGGAGCCUGCGGUUUAAUCGGACUCAACGCCGGGAAACUCACCGGAUAAGACAGCUGAAUGAUUGCCGGGCUGAAGACUCUGCAUGACUAGCUGAGAGGAGGUGCAUGGCCGUCGUCAGUUCGUACUGUGAAGCAUCCUGUUAAGUCAGGCAACGAGCGAGACCCA